rnacentral:rRNA from 1 species
UACAGAGGUCUCAAGCGUUGUUCGGAUUCAUUGGGCGUAAAGGGUGCGUAGGCGGCGCGGUAAGUCGGGUGUGAAAUCUUGGAGCUUAACUCCGAAACUGCAUUCGAUACUGCCGUGCUUGAGGACUGGAGAGGAGACUGGAAUUUACGGUGUAGCGGUGAAAUGCGUAGAUAUCGUAAGGAAGACCAGUGGCGAAGGCGGGUCUCUGGACAGUUCCUGACGCUGAGGAGCGAAAGCGUGGGUAGCGAACAGG